UCGCGGCUAUAUCACGUUGAAAUAACGCUUACCGUACGAUCACUGGAGUUAAGCAACAUCGAGCCUGGUCAGUACGUCGAUCGGUAACCACUGGGGAAUAUCAGGUGCUGUAAG